rnacentral:rRNA from 1 species
CGUUUAUCACAAACCCCCCCCGGGAAGUUGAAAAGAACUUUGAAGAGAGAGUUCAAAAGGGCGUGAAACCGCUUAGAAGAAAACGGACGGAACCGUCUGACGCCCUCGGGAAUCAGUCGAACGACGCGCGAACGCGUCUCGAUCGUCGGAGCGUAAAAGUCCGGCUCGAGGCGUCUAGUAGUCGCGUUCGUAAGGCGCAUUUCUCGAGGGUUAGCGCCGCGACCGAUGCGAACGGCCGACGACGCCGUCGAGUUGAGGUCGAACGCCCUUCGCGGGUAUUCGUAACCAGCUCGUUCGGUAGACUUGUCGGAUCUAAUAUAAAGCAUCGAGCGAAUACUAUAAAUACGUCGGCGUAAAACGCUCGACGAGCGGCGGAGACUCGGCCAGUCGUUCGGUACCUGCUCGCAGGUUCUCGUUCGGCGCGAGGUCGUUUCCCGAUGUCGCCGUCGACGCUACCGACGUUUAGGCGUCCGCGGCGUCCGAGUCGGCCACCCGUCCGACCCGUCUUGAAACACGGACCAAGGAGUCUAACGUACGCGCGAGUUAAUGGGUGGAAAACCCAUAAGCGCAAUAAAAGUAAAAGUCGUCCCAAGACGGCCGAGGUACGAUCCUAGACUACGCGUCUAGGCGCAGUACCGUCCCGUCCCGACCGCACGUCGGUAGGGCGGAGAUUGAGCGCAUACGUUGGGACCCGAAAGAUGGUGAACUAUGCCUGAGCAGAGCGAAGCCAGAGGAAACUCUGGUGGAGGUUCGUAGCGGUUCUGACGUGCAAAUCGAUCGUCAGACUUGGGUAUAGGGGCGAAAGACUAAUCGAACCAUCUAGUAGUUUUCUUCUCUCUCUACGAAAUA